rnacentral:rRNA from 1 species
ACGGGAGGCAGCAGUGGGGAAUAUUGGGCAAUGGGCGAAAGCCUGACCCAGCAACGCCGCGUGAAGGAAGAAGGUUUUCGGAUUGUAAACUUCUGUCCUAGGUGAAGAAGGAAGUGACGGUAGCCAAGGAGGAAGCCCCGGCUAACUACGUGCCAGCAGCCGCGGUAAUACGUAGGGGGCGAGCGUUGUCCGGAAUGACUGGGCGUAAAGGGCGUGUAGGCGGCCUGAUAAGUAUGAAGUGAAAACCCAGCUUUCAAGGUUGGGAUUGCUUUGUAGACUGUCGGGCUUGAGUGCGGAAGAGGUAAGUGGAAUUUCCAGUGUAGCGGUGAAAUGCGUAGAGAUUGGGAGGAACACCAGUGGCGAAGGCGACUUACUGGGCCGUAACUGACGCUGAGGCGCGAAAGCGUGGGGAGCGAACAGGAUUAGAUACCCUGGUA